rnacentral:rRNA from 1 species
UACGUAGGUGGCAAGCGUUGUCCGGAAUUAUUGGGCGUAAAGCGCGCGUAGGUGGCUUGUCAGGUCUGAUGUGAAAACCUGGGGCUCAACUCCAGGCCUGCAUCGGAAACCGACUUGCUAGAGUCUGGGAGAGGAGAGUGGAAUUCCUGGUGUAGCGGUGAAAUGCGUAGAUAUCAGGAGGAACACCGGUAGCGAAGGCGGCUCUCUGGAACAGUACUGACGCUGAGGCGCGAAAGCUAGGGGAGCGAACAGGAUUAGAAACCCUAGUAGUCC